rnacentral:rRNA from 1 species
UACAUGUGGGGCAAGCGUUGUUCGGAAUUACUGGGCGUAAAGCGCGCGUAGGCGGACCUGCAAGUCGGGGGUGAAAGCCCGAGGCUCAACCUCGGAACUGCCUUCGAUACUGCGGGUCUCGAGUCCGGGAGAGGUGAGUGGAAUUCCUAGUGUAGAGGUGAAAUUCGUAGAUAUUAGGAAGAACACCAGUGGCGAAGGCGGCUCACUGGCCCGGUACUGACGCUGAGGCGCGAAAGCGUGGGGAGCAAACAGG